ACGUAGGAAGGACUGACGUUCAACAAGAGAUUAUGCGCCAAACAUGAUACGACGACACGCACUGAGGAGAAAAGAAUCUUAUUCAACGUACCGUGUUUGAUAAGAAGGCAUCCAGGAAGGCAGCGUCGGUGUUUAAGUCAAUCCUCCGCCUUUAUUCCCCGGGUAUGACAGAAAGAGUGUGCGUGUGCGCGCGUGUGUAUGUGUGUGUGUUUUGCCGGUUAAAAUGAGAGAGGGAGCGGAGGAGGAGAGACAAAAAGAGGGAGGAACGCUGUGAAAUGGAGGGGAAAAGACAUGUAUCGUAAAAGCCAAACGACGCUCGCCUCAUUUUUAUGACGCGAUGUCCAUCCGUCCAUCAGCAAGUCCUCACGUGUUCAUCCGCGCCAGGUGCAGCUAUCCCUCCCGUCUGACAUCGAUAUUUACGAGCCGUCACAUUGUACUUGGUGCACAUGUGCAGACUGAUUCAGGAAGACGGCGGCAAAAAGAAGUUGUUGGCGCAGCGUGAAGGCAGAUGAAGCCGAGUUGCCCGAGUGGAGCGGAGCAGCUGAGGGGAAAGUGCAGUUUUUAUCAAAACUACCGAAGGUGUCCACCUUUUCCACAGUCCCAAGUCCAAACGUAGACACGCGCCAACAAGAGCCAGAAGCGCUGCUGUCAGCGUCAGCAGUUCUCGGGAUGAAGCUGAGCCUGCGCGUGAUGCUUUUCAUCACAAAGAUGUGAGUUUUAACGCAGUAAACGCUACUAAAUGUUGCUGAGUGUUCUUAUCAUUCACAGUAAAAGUGUUGAGAUGAUUCACUUGUUAGGCAAUAAUACCCCCCCAGGAGGAUUUUAAGGACUUUAUCUUGGUCAGGAGAUGGGAUAAGACCUUGUGUUGUCAGUGCAGUACCAGGCUGUGGAGGGCCUCAAUGACUGGGUUGGCCUUGGGCCCCCAAGUGACUAAGUACACCCCCGAUCACUGAUGAGUAAACAUUGGGGUUUUUUCCAAGCACUGAUCUGCUUCAGUAAACAAUACGAUCGUCCUCCCGAGAUGAUAAAGUGGGUCCAGCUAAGAUUUCCAGUGUUUUGAGAACGACUCCGAGGACAUCAGCAGCAUCCUGUCCCUCCCCCCCCCCGUGAUGCUUUUACAUUGCGAUCUGCUGACCCGGACACGGCUACUUCCUUCUUUCCACUUGUUCCACAAUCACAUGAACUUUCCUCUGGUGGUGGAAUGCACUAUGGGAAAAUGCGAUAUCUCUCCUUUUUUUGGGGGGGGGAAUGCAGCUGUAAAAUGACAGCAAAUGAGGACAAUAUGUUGUCAAAAUGAUUCAUGAUUUCUAUGAAGAAUUAAAAAAAAAAGUCUUCUACUGA